rnacentral:rRNA from 1 species
CCUACGGGCGGCAGCAGUGAGGAAUCUUGGUCAAUGGGCGCGAGCCUGAACCAGCCAAGUAGCGUGAAGGAUGACUGCCCUACGGGUUGUACACUUCUUUUAUCAAGGAAUAAAGUGAGGCACGUGUGCCUUUUUGUAUGUACUUUAUGAAUAAGGAUCGGCUAACUCCGUGCCAGCAGCCGCGGUAAUACGGAGGAUCCGAGCGUUAUCCGGAUUUAUUGGGUUUAAAGGGGGCGUAGAUGGGUUGUUAAGUCAGGUGUAAAAGUUUGCGGCUCAACCGUAAAAUGGCAGUUGAGACUGGCAGUCUUGAGUACAGGUGAGGUAUGCGGAAUUCGGGGUGUAGCGGUGAAAUGCUUAGAUAUCACGCAGAACUCCGAUUGCGAAGGCAGCUUACUAACCGGCCACUGACAUUGAUGCUCGAAAGUGUGGGUAUCAAACAGGAUUAGAUACCCGUGUAGUC